AGUGUCUGUGGUGAGGGAGCACUACAAGGAGAUAAUUUAUGAGACCCAUGGGCCCUUUGCCAUUUUGAGGGUGUCUGUUAGGUCUUUGUGGGCCUGGAUACCAUUGCAGAAAGGGAGUAUCUGCAAUUUUUUUCAAUCUGUGACCUGUUUGCUGCAAAACAGCCUGAUCAUGGCCUUAGGAAUGGAGAAAGAAUACUUUGUAUGAGCAGCAAUAAGAUAGAAGUAACAGUAAUUUACCUAAUGCCUUUUAUUAUAAGAUCGAGUCAGGAUCACAAGCAUUUCCCAGUAGGACCGAACUGCUAGACCAGCAGUUUUCCAUUACUUCUGUGUUGCACAAGCAGUUUCCCAGUAAAGGUGACAAUCUCUUCACAGUCAGUUUAGACCCACUAAGGCUUUGUUUUUCUCAUCAUCUUUCACACAACUUCCGCAGGUGUGGUACAUGAAAAACCCAGGAACCUGCAAUCUAUGAAGCUGAGAAUCACAGAGGACAGUAGGACUCACUUAUCAGACACAGUGAUGCAGUUCCAGUCACUUCAGUGAAUUACUUCACCAGACAGUAGGAAGAACAGAACCAGAAUCUAGCCUGACAUAUUUUGUGUUAUUGCAAAUAAAACUGGCCAAAUGUACUAUUUUCAGAAUGGUGUCAGACUGUUAAAUAUACUAAGUAAACAAAACAGAAGGGUCUGCAUCUUGACGGAAAGCACAUGCACACCAAGAUGUAAAACCCUUCUCAUAUAUCCACCACACUGGAUUUUUCUCCAGCUGUUGAUUUCUGAUGCUAUUGAUUUCUGCUGGAGUACAUCAAGAACAGCUUUUUCAGAAUUACUCAAAUUUACUCCCAGGAAGAUGGGAUUAAAAGUAGAAGAAAUAAAGGAGAAAAAUAACUAAAUAUGUGUACAAUUUUGAGUCCUGAAUAUAGCUUCAUUAAAACCAGUGAAGCUAUACUGAAUUCUGCCAGUUAACAGUUUGACACCUAAAUUACAAUGAAAAGCUCUGCUCUGCACAUAUCUCAUCUUAACUAAAGAUUUGUAAAUGUCAAAUGUAUAUACUGAGGUUAUAUUUUGACAAAUAAACUUACCAUAACAUAUUCCAA